CCGGAGUAUCUCGCUCUGACAACUGUCUCUGCCCGUGGAGCACUGAUGCGUGUGUGGACAGUGCGAGCCCCACUCUCUCCUCCCGCCCGCCCCGGUCUCCUGCUCUGCCUCCUCUGGUUGGUUGAGCCUCAGCACAUUCUGGUAGGAAGGUGGAGGAAGUCAGACUUCAAUGACUCAGCGAGCCCAGAUGCUUACACCUCUGCCAGAUUUGUGUCACACUGCCUGCCACUUAUCAGACUCAGAAUAAUGAAAACCCUCUUGCUGGCAGGCGUAGUAGUUACGAGAGAACAGGAAUGCGCAUGGAGAUCCAGCCGUGGGAAUGCAAAGCCGCUCGUUUACCACGGGCUGGAAUCCGUUCUGAGUGGGCAAGGUGGGCGGUCCUCCAAGCACAGAAAUGAUCUCCAGACCCUCCCGGACACGUAAGAAAUGCCACUUCUGCGACCCCGGAGUUUCCUUCUCCUGCAUCCACGGUGGGUUCUGUUAGAGCUGUAUCCCUGGGACCCUCCCCCACGGGAUGGGAGGAGACCCCCGGCUUGGGCAGGUCAAGACAGGCUGUGCCCCUCUAAAGCCCCAAGUGGUGGUCAGCACGAGGAGGAGAGCCGGGGUUGCCAAGAGGCGGGAAUAGACGGGGAUCAGGUGGAAGGGUGGCAUCGUGAGUGGGCUGGUCUGAUGCUGUUCGGGUGGCAGGUGGCCACACGUCAUCAGCUCAGGAAAAGCCCCGGAAGAAUAUCGUAGGGUAUUUAAGGUUUUCAAUUGGUGAUUAAACUCUAAAUGCCAUCAUUUCCCUACAUGUGGCAAAUAUCCUUUGUGUUUUAAAGCAUGCUCUUUUGGAAAGUGUCAGUUAAUUUAAACCCAAGCCCACAGGACAGAUUUGAAAUGCAGGUUUUCAGAAUAAUUUAUAGACAUGUUGACUUAGAAAAGACCAUUGCUUUCACUGAAAUUUAAGUCUUUCUGUGUAAUGGGUCCUUCUACACUAAUCAAAUAAACCAUCUCAACAGAAGAGGAAAAUUUAAUCC
rnacentral:lncRNA from 1 species